UACGUAGGGUGCAAGCAUUAAUCGGAUUUAUUGGGCGUAAAGCGCGCGUAGGCGGAUAAGGAAGUCAGAUGUGAAAUUCCGGGGCUCACCCCCGGAGCUGCAUUUGAAACUCUUCAUCUAGAGGAUAGGCGGAGAAAACGGAAUUCCGCGUGUAGCGGUGAAAUGCGUAGAUAUCAGGAGGAAUACCGAUGGCGAAGGCAGGUCUCUGGGCUGACACUGACGCUCAUGCACGAAAGCGUGGGGAGCAAACAGG
rnacentral:rRNA from 1 species